rnacentral:lncRNA from 1 species
CAAAAAAAUUCCUACGCACAUGCAAGAUCAUGGUGAUGUAUAGCAACAAGAUGGGAGAGUGUGAUCUACGUACUCUUGUAGACCGAAGCGGAAGCGUUGAUGCAACGUAGAGGAAGUAGUCGUACGUCUUCCCGAUCCGACCGAUCCAAGUACCGUUACUCCGGCACCUCCGAGUUCUUAGCACACGUACAGCUCGAUGACGCUCCCCAGGCUCCGAUCCAGCAAAGCUUCAGGGAUGAGUUCCGUCAGCACGACGGCGUGGUGACGAUGAUGAUGUUCUACCGUCGCAGGGCUUCGCCUAAGCACCGCUACAAUAUGACCGAGGUGGAAUAUGGUGGAGGGGGGCACCGCACACGGCUAAGGAACGAUCACGAAGAUCAACUUGUGUGUUCUAGGGUGCCCCCUUGCCCCCGUAUAUAAAGGAGGGAGGGGGAGGUGCGGCCGGCCCCAAGGGGUGCGCCUGGAGGAGUCCUACUCCCACCGGGAGUAGGACUCCCCCCUCUCUUGCCUUGUUGGAGAAGGAAAGGGGGAGGGAGAAGAGGAAAGGGGGGCGCCGCCCCCCCCCCUUCCUUGUCCUAUUCGGACUAGGGGGGAGGGGGCGCGUGGCCUUCCCUGGCCGGCCCCUCUCUUCUCCCUUAUGGCCCAUGUAGGCCCAUUAACCCCCGGGGGGGUUCCGGUAACCCCUCGGUACUCCGGUAAAAUCCCGAUUUCACCCGGAAUGAAUCCGAUGUCCAAAUGUAGGCUUCCAAUAUAUCAAUCUUUAUGUCUCGAUCAUUUUGAGACUCCUCGUCAUGUCCGUGAUCACAUCCGGGACUCCGAACUAACUUCGGUACAUCAAAAUGCAUGAACUCAUAAUAAUUAUCAUCGUAACGUUAAGCGUGCGGACCCUAAGGUUCGAGAACAAUGUAGACAUGACCGAGACACGUCUCUGGUCAAUAACCAAUAGCGGGACCUGGAUGCCCAUAUUGGCUCCUACAUAUUCUACGAAGAUCUUUAUCGGUCAAACCGCAUAACAACAUACGUUGUUCGCUUUGUCAUCGGUAUGUUACUUGCCCGAGAUUCGAUCGUCGGUAUCCAAUACCUAGUUCAAUCUCGUUACUGGCAAGUCUCUUUACUUGUUCCGUAAUACAUCAUCUCGCAACUAACUCAUUGGUUGCAAUGCUUGCAAGGCUUAUGUGAUGUGCAUUACCGAGAGGGCCCAGAGAUACAUCUCCGACGAUCGGAGUGACAAAUCCUAAUCUCGAAAUACGUCAACCCAACAUGUACCUUUGGAGACACCUGUAGAGCACCUUUAUAAUCACCCAUUUAUGUUGUGACGUUUGGUAGCACACAAAGUGUUCCUCCGGCACACGGGAGUUACAUAAUCUCAUAGUCAUAGGAACAUGUAUAAGUCAUGAAGAAAGCAAUAGCAACAUACUAAACGAUCGGGUGCUAAGCUAAUGGAAUGGGUCAUGUCAAUCAGAUCAUUCAACUAAUGAUGUGAUCCCGUUAAUCAAAUAACAACUCUUUUGUCUAUGGUUAGGAAACAUAACCAUCUUUGAUUAACGAGCUAGUCAAGUAGAGGCAUACUAGUGACACUCUGUUUGUCUAUGUAUUCACACAUGUAUUAUGUUUCCGGUUAAUACAAUUCUAGCAUGAAUAAUAAACAUUUAUCAUGAUAUAAGGAAAUAAAUAAUAGCUUUAUUAUUGCCUCUAGGGCAUAUUUCCUUCAAUAACAAGAUGGGGUUUAUAUCAUAUUGCAUGAGUUUAUCCCUCUACAUCAUGUCAUCUUGCUUAAAGCAUUACUCUGUUCUCUUGAACUUAAUACUCUAGAUGCAUGCUGGAUGGCGGUCGAUGUGUGGAGUAAUAGUGGUAGAUGCAGGUAGGAGUCGGUCUACUUGUUUCGGACGUGAUGCCUAUAUACAUGAUCAUACCUAGAUAUUCUCAUAACUAUGCUCAAUUCUGUCAAUUGCUCAACAAUAAUUUGUUCACCCAUCAUAAAUACUUAUGCUCUUGAGAGAAGCCACUAGUGAAACCUAUGGCCCCCGGGUCUAUCUUCCAUCAUAUUAAUCUUCCAAUACUUAGUUAUUUCCUUUGCCAUUUAUUUUACUUUGCAUAUUUAUCAUAAAAAUACCAAAAAUAUUAUCCUAUCAUAUCUAUCAGAUCUCACUCUCGUAAGUGACGUGUAGGGAUUGACAACCCCUUAUCGCGUUGGUUGCGAGUAGCUAUCACUUUGUGCAUGUACGAGGGACUUGAGCGUGGGCUCCUACUGGAUUGAUACCUUGGUUCUCAAAAACUGAGGAAAAUACUUACGCUACUUUGUUGCAUCACCGUUUCCUCUUCAAAGGAAAACCAACGCAAUGCUCAAGAGGUAGCAAUAUAUGAUAUGUGUGCAGAAGAAAAUUAGCUUUUACCAUUUGGUGGCGAAAAUUGAGAUGCAAUUUCAACCGGUUAUUUGCACUCCUUCUUGAGAAGCACUUUGGUGAGCAGGAAUGGCACCUGCCACGCCUUGGCCUUACAGGCGAGGCUGACUUGACGAAGCUGUGGAACAUAGCCAAAGCGCACGGGAAGGUUCUUGGAGCACCAAGAAUGGCACAACACCGUACUGAGCCCGGGGACGGAGAUGAGGUGGAUCCGCUUGCAAUGGAAGUGCAUAAACUCAAGCUCCUGGAUCCCAGAACACGGUGUGUCAAUCUUUAGCACGUGGUGCUGAUCGACCAGUCCGCGGGAGUUCAUGUUGAGAUGCUCGAGCUUAUCGGAAGCAGCAAUGAAGCUGGGGACGUCGGAGUCCCCGAAUGUAACGCCCUCGAUGCGGCUAUAUCUCCCACGUGUCGAAGCACGACUUAGAGGCAUAACCGCACUGAAAGCAAUGUCGCAAGUGAGGUAAUCUUCACACAACCCAUGUAAUACAUAAGGGAAAGAGAUACAUAGUUGUCUUACAAUCGCCACUUCACACAAAUACAUGAAUAAAGCAUUACAUCAACCAGAUACAAUCAAGGUCCGACCACGGAACCAAAAUAAAAGAAGACUACCCCAAAUGCUACACAGAUCCCCGAUCGACCCCAACUGGGCUCCACUACCGAUCAACUAGAAUGAAACAACAUAAAGGACAAGAUCUUCCUCGAGCUCCUCCUUGAGCUUGGUUGCGUCAUCCGCACGGUUCAACGGCACCUGCAAGCUGGUUUUGGAAGUAUCUGUGAGUCACGGGGACUCAGCAAUCUCACACCCUCGCGAUCAAGACUAUUUAAGCUCAUAGGUAAGGUAAAAGGUAUGAGGUGGAGCUGCAGCAAGCGACUAGCAUAUAUGGUGGCUAACAUACGCAAAUGUGAGCGAGAAGAGAAGGCAAAAGCACGGUCGAACAACUAUGAUCAAGAAGUGAUCCUAGAACAACCUACGUCAAGCAUAACUCCAACACCGUGUUCACUUCCCGGACUCCGCCAGAAAGAGACCAUCACGGUUACACACGCGGUUGAUGUAUUUUAAUUAAGGUCAACUUCAGGUUUUCUACAACUGGACAUUAACAAAUUCCCAUCUGCCCAUAACCGUGGGCACGGCUUUCGAAAGUUCAAAUCCCUGCAGGGGUGUCCCAACUUAGCCCAUCACAAGCUCUCACGGUCAACGAAGGAUAUUCCUUCUAGCGGGAAGACCCGAUCAGACUCGGAAUCCCGGUUACAAGACAUUUCGACAAUGGUAAAACAAGAAUAGCAAAGCCACCCGAAUGUGCCGACAAAUCCUGAUAGGAGCUGCACAUAUCUCUUUCUCAGGGCACACCGGAUUGUCCAAGGUUCCGGUAGGCCAGCCCAGAGUUGCCCCUGGUGGCCACCCGCAGCUGUCAAGUUGGACCAACACUCGGAGGAGCACUGGCCCGGGGGUUUAAAUAAAGAUGACCCUUGAGUCUGCAGAACCCAAGGGAAAGAAAAGGCUAGGUAGUGAAUGGUAAAACCAAUGUUGGGCCUUGCUGGAGGAGUUUUAUUCAAGGCGAACUGUCAAGGGGUUCCCAUUAUAACCCAACCGCGUAAGGAACGCAAAAUCCGGGAACAUAACACCGAUAUGACGGAAACUAGGGCGGUAAGAGUGGAACAAAACACCAGGUAUAAGGCCGAGCCUUCCACCCUUUACCAAGUAUAUAGAUGCAUUAAUUAAAUAAGAGAUAUUGUGAUAUCCCAACAAAUAUCCAUGUUCCAACAAGGAACAACAAUGAACAAACUUCAAUCUUCACCUGCAACUAACAACGCUAUAAGAGGGGCUGAGCAAAGCGGUAACAUAGCCAAACAACAGUUUGCUGGGACAAGGUGGGUUAGAGGCUUGGCUUAACAAUAUGGGAGGCAUGAUAUAGCAAGUGGUAGGUAUCGCGGCAUAGGCAUAGCAAAAGAGCGAGCAACUAGCAAGCAAAGAUAGAAGUGAUUUCGAGGGUAUGGUCAUCCUGCCUGAAAUCCCGCAAGGAAGAAGAACGAGUCCAUGAAGAAGAUAAACGGUAGUCGAACGACUCCUCACAACACGACGCUAUCGGAACUAACCCGAAGAAGCAACACCGGAAAGAAGCAAACAACAUAGUAAACAACCACCACAUAAGCAUGGCACGAUGCACACACAAGUAUGAUGCAUGUCCAGUUUAAUGAGGCGUGGCAUGGCAUGGCAAAGAGCACAAACAAUCCUAUAAAUUAAGUGGAGCUCAACAUGCAACUCCAUUGCAUAUUGACGAAACACCACAUUCAAGUUAUUUAGUUCAAUCUCGUUUAUGUACCCAACAAUAUUAAAUGUUGACUAACAUGGCAAGGGGUGAAGCAAAACAAAACUACCUAUCUAGGCAAGUUUAAAUGAGGCCGGAACAACAAACAACAAGUCCGGAAACUCCUCAUAUGCAUAUAUUAGGUUUGGUAUUGUUCUGCCCUAAACAUAAUUUUAGAGUUAUUAAACAUGAAAAACAAGUGCACCAUGUUAAACUAGGCAUUUUUCUACCCCAUUUACAUAUAAAGUUUGUUAAGUUUGAAGCUACGGUUAAUUUGUUAUGAAUUAAAGCAUUUUAGCAUGGCAUAGGAGCAAAUUUAAACAAACAGCAUUUUAGACAUUUUAAACAUAGAUGAAAGUUGCAUAUUAUUAAACUAGACAAAAUUCUAAGCAACUUUCAUAUUAAGUUUGUUUUAAACCGAUGCACGGUUAUUAAGUUAUUAUAUGCAUGAUCUAUAAGGGGUUUUCUGUAAAACAUCAGUUUUCUGGAAAUUAGCUAAAUUCGCAGAGCCUCAAAAAAAAUACUGGGCCGGAUCUGCUGGCCCAACAACAGGAAAAAAGGGGUGGGGCGCCAGGGGUGUUCUCACCAUGGGCUUGGCCCAUUGGGUGAGAGGGCAGGCUUGAGCUGGGCCUGGGAGAGGCUGCUUGGGACGCGGUCAACGCGCGGUGGCGCUCGCUACUGCUGCUUGAAGCAGGAAAACAAAGCACGCAGCGGCAAUGGCCUCGGCCACGGGCGGCGCGAUGGAGGUAAGGUGGAGGACGGAGGGGAGCGGGGCUCGGCGCUGGCCUAGCUUGGUGGCCGGAGCGUGGAUCCAGGCCAGUUUGGGUCGGCAAGGUGAGGUAGCAGGCCGGCGUGGAAGAUCUCAGGUGGUCAUGGCGUCCAUUGGCGAUGAACCCUGCGGGAGUUCCCUGUUUCAACAAGCCAGAGAGAGGGUGAAACACGGGAGAGAGAUGGGGAAGAAAGGGAAGGAAAGCAGGAGAGAGGGCGAGGGAGUCUGGCAUGGCGAUUCGGGAUCGAGAUCAUCUCGAUCUGGAGGUCAGGCGCCAUGGGGCUGUGCGAGCUCGAGGACGGGGCUCGUAGCUGACGACGGGAGCGAGGAGUCCCGCGUGUGCUCAGCACAGCAGGACGACGUGGUGGAGCUCGAGGCUGGAGGGCUCGGGCGCAGGAGGGGCUCGGGUUGGCCGGCUCGUGAUCCCAAGGUGGAAGGGGGCUGCAGGCAAGGGGAUCGAGGAGAUGGCGCUGGGAGAUGCAGUUGGAUGGAUGAAUCAAUUCAAAACAGUGGGGAUUGGUCGGCGUUGAAAACAAGGAGAGUGGCGGCGGAUGGGAUGGAUGGAAGGGACAAACUGCCUAGGAUCGAGGGUUGGUCUAGUUUAUAUAGUGAGUGGGUUUGUUUAGGGGGUAUAUCGUCCCUCCGAUCGCAAUCGGACGAUCGCGAAAAAAUAGCUAGGGGGUCCAAAUAAGAAAACGGUGACGUUUUGUAGAUGUUUGGGGAUGAUCCGGACACAACAGUGGCGACUGCCCGGGUCGGGUCCGGGACAGCUUUCCGGACGAGCGCGAGGGGGGUUGAUGCACUGAGCAGAGAGGGUUUCGGACUGUGCGAUGGCAUCGGACAACUCCGGAAGCGAAGAGGGGAAGCAGGAUGGACUAGGUGGGCUGUGGUGAGACUGCGAGGGGGAGAAGAGAGAGAGAGGGCCCGGCAUCUGUUUCCAGAGACCGAAAACGUCCGACGAAAAGACCGGCUAUACUGCCGCUAUAGUUAUCCAUUGGGGCGUCAAACGAACUCCGAAUGCGAUGAAAUUUGACAAGCGGUCUAUCUACACUAUAAUAAGACCGCAGGCCAACUUUCAACCCAUUCCGAGAACAUUUUCUGGCCACUUAUAAAAUAUUAUUUUGGACAUGCCGCGGGCGCGUGCAAGUGUGUCUGGGCUCAGAACGGACAACAGAAGGAAUGGGGAGAACCGGAUGGAUUCAAGUUUUGAAAACAUGCAGAUGCAAUGCAGAUGAUGACAUGGCAAGAUGCGGCACGCAAGCAAAUGACAAGGCAACAACAACGGAACACCGGAAGACACCUGGUGCAUCGGUCUCGGGGCGUCACAACACUCCACCACUACGAGAGGAUCUCGUCCCGAGAUCUAGGAUGACACCGGAGGGAAAAGGAAGAGGAAGAUAAGAGGUAAAACUAAGUUGCUUCUUUGACAAACGAGUGAAACCAAAGAACCUUGCGAGGUUGAACAAAUUCGAGACAGAAUACAACGAAGGUGAACUAGGUCGAAAACACUCCUUUAGAAAAGAGGAACAAAGAACAUUGCGAAAAACCUUGAGGUUGAAGGCAAGAUAAAUAUUGAAACCACUCAGGUUAAAAACAAGAUAGAGAAGGAAUAAGACUGAUAUAAUUUGGACAGCACUUCGACUGUAAAUGGAAGAAAUUGAACAUGAUCUUGACAAACCGAGAUGAGGAGUGAAAAGAGCAACAUCAAUAGACCUCCAGGAGAAAGAAUAGAAUAAAGAUAAUUGAUACAAAAGAAUGUAGAAGACAAUGCCAACUUCUGCUACAAAAGAGCUUGAAAAGGCACCUUUAGGAGAAGGGUUGAACGGAGUUAUUGGAAAGCCAACAACGAAAAGAAUAAGCUUGAUAUGGUCUUAUGGAGUACAUCUCAAAUUAUGAGGUGACAACCUGCCACUCACGGGAAAAAGAAUUGGAUUGAUAAGAACAAGGAGACGAGAAGCUAUCUCACCGGGAGGAUAAAUGAAGAACUUGGAUCAUUGAUAAACACCAUAAGAGCGACAAUCCUUAAAGGAAAGCUUUAGGUGAAAUAUAACCCAAGAUAAUUCCAAUGAAGAAAGUGAUGGGUUUAAAUACCUCAUUCUUGACAACAUGUGAAUCAUGAAACAUGAACUCAAAUUAUCAAGAAUGAUAUAAUACCACCUCUAUUGAUACGGAAGGAAGAAUUGCACUCCGGAUUGCAAGAUGAAGAAUGCUUGAGCUCAUCUGAAAAGAAUCUUGAUGAACACUUCGAGAAGGAAUUAAAUCCUUUAUGAACCAUCAUGUAGUACCUUGAUGAAGAACUCUGGUAACAAAAGGAUGAUCAAACGGAAGGAAAGAGAGGUUGAAAACACAAGGUGAAACCUUGUAAUGAUUUAGAUGAAUCUCCGUGGUGAUAUAAUUGCGAGAGCUUGGGACUCCGGGAAAGAAAAAUGAAUCAAGUGAAACCGAGAAUUUGAUGAGCCUCCGGAAUAAAGAAUUAAUCACUUGGAUGAAGCAAGAAUAAGAAUUACGUUAUGCGUAUCCUUCACCAAUUAAAUUGAUGACAAUCAACGGAUUUGGCACACUACUUAUUCUUGUCGAAAGGAUUAAGAUAGAUAUAGCAUGACUUGAGAACGUCUUCACAAGUUACCGGUAGGAUUGAGAAGAACGAAUGAAUAUAUACGAUAACGAAUGACGAGAACUCUUGCAUGAACCACCGUUAGGAUUGAAAAAUGAAAGUGGCAAGGACAAAAAUCACCGAAAAGAAUUGGAAAAUGAAAGACGAUACUUGAGGGGAUUUGAUACAUGAGGACGAAUAGAUCUCGAACUUAUUAGAGAAUAUUUGAAUGAAUCACCGGUAAGAUUUAGAGAAUGAUAACUGAAAGCUGAGAAUGAAUAAUCCCGAAAUGAUGGGCUCCGAAGAAUCAAACUGAAAAGACUCCUGAAUUGCUCCGAAAGGAUGAAAAAAAAUUCUGACAAUCAAAACAAUUAUGAGAGUAUGGCAUCAAGCUAGAAUCACGAAUCUUUGAUAGAACGGAUAAGAUAUAGAGGAAACAUUUCUUCGGUCUUCAAAUGUUGAUAAUGACGAUGAGAAGCACCACCAAAAAUUGUAGAGGCACUCCGGAAUUAAGAUUGGAAAGGUUGAACCAACGAUGAAAAGAAUUUGACAGAUCUUGGAGAAAGACAUUUGACUGAUGACAGUUCAUUCUUACGUCAAACAUCGAAAAGAAUUUGGGAGUAACUCCGGGAAAAAUUAUAAGAGUCGGGUAAGAUCCUGGGAAAAGACUUGUGGGUUAGGGCCCACUCAAAAGAAACACCGUAGAACGAUUUAAAAGAGAGAAUGCACUGGUAAGAUUAAAUGGCUAGAAUGAGAUAACAACCUCGAAAGAGCUUGAAAGGAUUACGAAAGCAGAGUGGAAACACGAAUCCUCGAGAUAUCUUGAACACUCCAGAACAAUUGAAUGGCAAGCGGGGAAGAUUAAGAGGUGCACCGGCAUAACUAAGCAUUGAAACGAGGAAAAGAUAUGAUCAACAAAGCUUGACUUGAAACCACUGGAGGAAAAAAUGAAGAAUGAUGAACUUGAGGCCCCGUUAGAAUGACCAUGAGAAUCACCGGAUAAGAACAUUGAUUGAAAAGAAAGAAGAGACUUCACAAGAAUAAAGGAUACUUGAUUAAGACAUCGGAUUCCUUGAAGAAAAAGGGUGGGUGGCCGGGAAAACAAAGACAACUUGGGGACGGAUGAAACAAACACCGUUGAGAAGAACGGAUACUUGAUCUUGCGGAUGUUGCAAUGAUCGGAUCCACUUGAAGAGAAGUACACCGGUUAAAAAGGAUUGACAUGGCAAUCUCGAUGAUCAUGAAGGAUUAGUAUUCACAUACAAAUAUGAGAACACCGCUUAGGAAAGGGAUGGAAUCCACAUUUGUCUCUGAAGCAACUCGAAUACCACAACUCAAAACAAAACAAAGGAUUGGAUUUCAAAAUAAGCCAUAACAAACAUAUGAUAGAGAUUUCGUCCAAAGUUUUCGUGGUGGGGCCUACCCGGGCUCGAUCGUACAGCACCAUCAUGUACAAGGCAGUGCACAUGACAUACGAAGCGUCCCCGAGUCGGCAUAGCCAAGGACUCUUUAAGACACAACGAGACCACUGUAAAACCAACCGUGGAUAGGCGGACCACUAGAUGUCGAACCCCAAUUUCAUAUCAUACAUCUGUCGAAAAGAUAUCCUAAGAGCUACUUGAAUUCCCACUUAUAAACUCCCGAAAUUUUCUGGUUAUGCAAUCAGGUGUUGGGGAUACAGGGGAAGCAUAAUAUCUCACCCAAAACUAGCAAAUCCUACAUCCAGCUGUAUCCAUCCUUCAACACAUAACCAAGAAACCUUCGGAAAUCAUCUACCUCAACCUUCAAAAAGCAUCCGUUAUACGAGUUAUGGCAAUACUCCCGAACUCCCGCCCCAGUACUGGGUGGCGUCGAGGUUAUCUCACCAACAACUGCAUAAAAGAGAUUUUCGAUGUCGGCGAAACUAAACUCAGGUAUUCUAGAACUGCAACGAUAAAAUUGUGAUGACAACACCUCGGAGCUCAACUCCCCGGGACACUGCCACAACCCCUAAAAGUCAGGAGGCACCAAGAACAAUGUUCUCGUCACAAAACCAUCGAAACGAUUCCAAGAUACCCACGUGAUCCUAAAAAAAUUUAGUGAAAUUUGAGAAGAAAAGAGUCAAAACUCUACGUCAGGAUGCCUCAACAGAGCGAUGAAGGGACUGGGGAGUAAAAAGAAUUCCUAAACUCUCCGAUAUAUAUAAUCCUAAAUGACUCAAAACAUUUCUAGACCCAAUAUCGCCAGCGAUUCGAUCAAGCAGGGGGCUCCUAAGGUCGGGGAAGGCUCUGAUUACCAACUUGUAAUGCCCUCGAUGCGGCUAUAUCUCCCACGUGUCGAAGCACGACUUAGAGGCAUAACCACAUUGAAAGCAAUGUCGCAAGUGCGGUAAUCUUCACACAACCCAUGUAAUACAUAAGGGAAAGAGAUACAUAGUUGGCUUACAAUUGCCACUUCACACAAAUACAUGAAUAAAGCAUUACAUCAACCGGAUACAAUCAAGGUCCGACUAUGGAACCAAAAUAAAAGAAGACUACCCCAAAUGCUACACAGAUCCCCGAUCGACCCCAACUGGGCUCCACUACUGAUCAACUAGAAUGAAACAACAUAAAGGACAAGAUCUUCCUCGAGCUCCUCCUUGAGCUCGGUUGCGUCAUCCGCACGGUUCAACGGCACCUGCAAGCUGGUUUUGGAAGUAUCUGUGAGUCACGGGGACUCAGCAAUCUCACACCCUCGCGAUCAAGACUAUUUAAGCUCAUAGGUAAGGUAAAAGGUAUGAGGUGGAGCUGCAGCAAGCGACUAGCAUAUAUGGUGGCUAACAUACGCAAAUGAGAGCGAGAAGAGAAGGCAAAAGGACGGUCGAACAACUAUGAUCAAGAAGUGAUCCUAGAACAACCUACGUCAAGCAUAACUCCAACACCGUGUUCACUUCCCGGAAUCCGCCGGAAAGAGACCAUCACGGUUACACACGCGGUUGAUGUAUUUUAAUUAAGGUCAACUUCAGGUUUUCUACAACCGGACAUUAACAAAUUCACAUCUGCCCAUAACCGCGGGCAUGGCUUUCGAAAGUUCAAAUCCCUGCAGGGGUGUCCCAACUUAGCCCAUCACAAGCUCUCACGGUCAAUGAAGGAUAUUCCUUCUAGCGGGAAGACCCGAUCAGACUCGGAAUCCCGGUUACAAGACAUUUCAACAAUGGUAAAACAAGACCAGCAAAGCCACCCGAAUGUGCCGACAAAUCCCGAUAGGAGCUGCACAUAUCUCUUUCUCAGGGCACACCGGAUUGUCCAAGAUUCCGGUAGGCCAGCCCAGAGUUGCCCCUGGUGGCCACCGGCAGCUCACAGGUUGGACCAACACUCAGAGGAACACUGGCCCGGGGGUUUAAAUAAAGAUGAUCCUUGAGUCUGCAGAACCCAAGGGAAAGAAAAGGCUAGGUGGCGAAUGGUAAAACCAAUGUUGGGCCUUGCUGGAGGAGUUUUAUUCAAGGCGAACUGUCAAGGGGUUCCAUUAUAACCCAACCACGUAAGGAACGCAAAAUCCGGGAACAUAACACCGAUAUGACGGAAACUAGGGCGGUAAGAGUGGAACAAAACACCAGGCAUAAGGCCGAGGCUUCCACCCUUUACCAAGUAUAUAGAUGCAUUAAUUAAAUAAGAGAUAUUGUGAUAUCCCAACAAAUAUCCAUGUUCCAACAAGGAACAACAUAGCCAUGUUCCAACAAGGAACAAACUUCAAUCUUCACCUGCAACUAACAACGCUAUAAGAGGGGCUGAGCAAAGCGGUAACAUAGCCAAACAACGGUUUGCUAGGACAAGGUGGGUUAGAGGCUUGGCUUAACAAUAUGGGAGGCAUGAUAUAUCAAGUGGUAGGUAUCACGGCAUAGGCAUAGAAAAAGAGCGAGCAACUAGCAAGCAAAGAUAGAAGUGAUUUCGAGGGUAUGGUCAUCUUGCCUGAAAUCCCACAAGGAAGAAGAACGAGUCCUUGAAGAAGAUAAACGGACGUAGUCGAACGACUCCUCACAACACGAUGUUAUCGGAACCAACCCGAAGAAGCAACACCGGAAAGAAGCAAACAACAUAGUAAACAACCACCACAUAAGCAUGGCACGAUGCCCAAACAAGUAUGAUGCAUGUCCAGUUUAAUGAGGCAUGGCAAAGAGCACAAACAAUCCUACAAAUUAAGUGGAGCUCAACAUGCAACUCCGUUGCAUAUUGACGAAACACCACAUUCAAGUUAUUUAGUUCGAUCUCGUUUAUGUACCCCAACAAUAUUAAAUGUUGAUUAACAUGGCAAGGGGUGAAGCAAAAGAAAACUACCUAUCUAGGCAAGUUUAAAUGAGGCCGGAACAAUAAACAACAAGUCCGGAAACUCCUCAUAUCCAUAUAUUAGGUUUGGUACUGUUCUGCCCUAAACAUAAUUUUAGAGUUAUUAAACAUGAAAAACAAGUGCACCAUGUUAAACUAGGCAUUUUUCUACCCCAUUUACAUAUAAAGUUUGUUAAGUUUGGAGCUACGGUUAAUUUGUUAUGAAUUAAAGCAUUUAGCAUGGCAUAGGAGCAAAUUUAAACAAACAGCAUUUUAGACAUUUUAAACAUAGAUGAAAGUUGCAUAUUAUUAAACUAGACAAAAUUCUAAGCAACUUUCAUAUUAAGUUUGUUUUAAACCGAUGCACGGUUAUUAAGUUAUUAUAUGCAUGAUCUACAAGGGGUUUUCUGUAAAACAUCAGUUUUCUAGAAAUUAGCUAAAUUCGCAGAGCCUCAAAAAAAAUACUGGGCCGGAUCUGCUGGCCCAACAACAGGAAAAAAAGGGGUGGGGCGCCAGGGGUGUUCUCACCAUGGGCUUGGCCCAUUCGGGUGAGAGGGCAGGCUUGAGCUGGGCCUGGGAGAGGCUGCUUGGGACGCGGUCAACGCGCGGUGGCGCUCGCUACUGCUGCUCAAAGCAGGAAAACAAAGCACGCAGCAGCAAUGGCCUCGUCCACGGGCGGCGCGAUGUAGGGAAGGUGGAGGACGGAGGGGAGCGGGGCUUGGCGCUGGCCUAGCUUGGUGGCUGGAGCGCGGAUCCGGGCCAGUUUGGGUCGGCAAGGUGAGGUAGCAGGCCGACGUGGAAGAUCUCAGGCGGUCAUGGCGUCCGUUGGCGACGAACCCUGCGGGAGUUCCCUGUUUCAACAAGCCAGAGAGAGAGGGUGAAACACAGGAGAGAGAUGGGGAAGAAAGGGAAGGAAAGCAGGAGAGAGGGCAAGGGAGUCUGGCCUGUCGAUUCGGGAUCGAGAUCAUCUUGAUCGGGAGGUCGGGCGCCAUGGGGCUGUGCGAGCUCGAGGACGGGGCUCGUAGCUGACGAUGGGAGCGACGAGUCCCGCGUGUGCUCGGCACAUCAGGAGACGUGGUGGAGCUCGAGGCCGGAGGGAUUGGGCGCAAGAGGGGCUCGGGUUGGCCGGCUCGUGAUCCCAAGGUGGAAAGAGGCUGCAGGCAAGGGGAUCGAGGAGAUGGAGCUGGGAGAUGCAGUUGGAUGGAUGAAUCAAUUGAAAACAGUGGGGAUUGGCCGGCGUUGAAAACAACGAGAGUGGCGGCGGAUGGGAUGGAUGGAAGGGACAAACUGCCUAGGAUCUAGGGUUGGUCUAGUUUAUAUAGUGAGUGGGUUUGUUUAGGGGCUAUAUCGUCCCUCCGAUCGCAAUCGGACGAUCGCAAAAAGAUAGCUAGGGGUCAAAAUAAGAAAACGGUGACGUUUUGUAGAUGUUUGGGGAUGAUCCGGACACAACGGUGGCGACUGCCCGGGUCGGGCCCGGGACAGCUUUCCGGACGCGUGCGCGAGGGGGGUUGAUGCACUGAGCAGAGAGGGUUUCAGACCGUGCGAUCGCAUCGGACAACUCCGGAAGCGAAGAGGGGAAGGAGGAUGGACUAGGUGGGCUGUGGCGAGACUGCGAGAGGGAGAAGAGAGAGAGAGGGCCCGGCAUCUGUUUCCGGAGACCGUAAACGUCCGACGAAAAGACCGGCUAUACUGCCGCUAUAGUUAUCCUGCCGCUAUAGUUAUCCGUUGGGGCGUCAGACGAACUCCGAAUGCGAUGAAAUUUGACAGGCGGUCUAUCUACACUAUAAUAAGACCGCACGCCAACUUUCAACUGAUUCAGAAAACAUUUUCUGGCCACUUAUAAAAUAUUAUUUCAGACAUGCCGCGGGCGCGUGCAAGUGUGUCUGGGCUCAGAACGGACAACAAAAGGAAUGGGGAGAACCGGACGGAUGCAAGUUUUGAAAACAUGAAGAUGCAAUGCGGAUGAUGACAUGGCAAGAUGCGGCACGCAAGCAAAUGACAAGGCAACAACAACGGAACACCGGAAGACACCUGGCGCAUCGGUCUCGGGGCGUCACACCGAACGCAAGGCUCUUAAGGCGCAGCCUCGUGAGCGAGCGGAAGGCCGGCUGGUAGGAGCAGGAGAAGGACAUGAAGUGCUGCCCUAGCUCAGGGAUCUGUGGGCCGGAGUUUACCUCGGGGGCAGGGAUACUUGGAAGGCGAGGCGUCUGGUCUUGCCGUGGUUGACGACGUCUUGGACGACGCUGGCGAUGGAGCUCAGAUGACAGGCCGACGACAGGAAGAAGUGGAGGUCGAUGACCUUGAUGGCCAUGGAAUUGGCACGGCCGCGCUGGCACUCGCAGAAGUUGUGGUGGGCACAUACGUACGUCAAAGUGGCCGGGAACGCGUCCAUGCAUGCAUGGUUUUGACUGGCAUGCAUUGCGCGGGGGACGUCGAGUGUCACGAACGAGAGCUAGCGAGGGAGAUUCCCCUAGAAGGCACCUUCUCGUCGUUCCAGCCAGGACACGACACGACAACAAACAUCAACGCGGAAAUGUCGCAUGCAUGCAUGUGUGUCCUUUCUUUCCUUCCAACCAAAAAGAAAAGGAAAACAAAAAACAGGACCUUCCUCCUCCUCUCCUCUCAAUCCAAUCCCUGCAACAUACGCAGCGCAGCGCAGAGCACGCACGUCUGUCUUCCUCGUCGCCGCCGCCGACGCCCUCCCUGCCCUCAUGUAAACUUUCAUGAAUAUCAUUGGACAAAAUAAACUUGAUUCUUUGUAAUAGUUUUGCGAUAUGAUGAUAGUGAUAUGUGAGUCAUGUUGGGGAGUAAUUAUACUUUAGUAAGAAUAUUGGUGUUAAGGUUUGUGAUUCCCUAUGCAAGCACGAAAGUCAAUAGUUAUGCAAUGAAAUUACAUCCUACUUGUGGCGCAUUAUUCGAUGUUAGUUAUGCUUAAUGCUCGCUUAUGUGUUUUUUUGUUUCUUGGUUGGAUGCUUCUCGAUCUAUUUACUAGCCUUCACGUGUACUAAGUGGAAAUACUACUUAUGCAUUCAAAAUCCUUAAACCCAGUUUUGUCAUAUGAGUUCACCAUACCUACCUAUAUGCGGUAUUCUCGUGCCGUUCUAAGCAAAUUUGUAUGUGUCAUCUCUAAUUUUCAAAACAAAAUUCAUUUUUGUGUGCUCGUACCGCUCAUGAAGUGGCAGGGGGUGGCCAAUAUUUUUCAUGCUAGAUGUGUUAUUCUCAAGAUGAGUGUUUAUUCACUUGUCAUUGCAUGAGAGUACGCCGGUAAUAGGGAUGCCCAGUCCCGAAAUGAAAAAGAAAUUUACUUUAUGUUGUCAAAUAAUAAACUUCUUGGAAAGUGUUGGUAUGGAAGGCACUCGUGGAUACGGCUAGCCAUGGAUUGUGAAAAAAUGGUGGAAAAAGGAAAAAACUUUAUUUUCUAUUUGCAAACCACCUAUGAUAUAUCUAGCAUGGAAAGUGUUGGGAAUUACUCGAUUGAUUUCGUUGACGGGAAAAAUAUGCCCCUCAAAAAUUUUAUCUCUCAAUUUAAGCUUUGAGCUAUGGCACCUCUACAAAUCUCUGCUUCCCUCUGCGAAGGGCCUAUCUAUUUACUUUUAUACAAUUUUUAUUUUUAUUUGAGUCUCCAUCCUCUCUUAUAAAGCACCAACUAGGGAGCACUAUGACCAUACUUGAGCAUUGGAUGUAGCUAAUAUGCGAGUGUGUUUCAUGAAAGGAUCAAUGAUUGAGAAUGAUGGGCUAGGGAUAACUUUCUUUAGUGUUGAUACCUUGAAAGACAUGGUUGCUUAUUGAUAUGCUUGAGUAUUGAAAUCUUCAUGUCAAAACUAGACUAUUACUUUGAACCAUAUAAAAUUCCAAAUGUCCAUGCUAUAAAUUAAAAGAAUAUGUGAUGAACAUGUUAGGCAGCAUUCCAUAUCAAAAAUUCUGUUUUUAUCAUUUACCUAUUCGAGGAUGAGUAGGAAUUAAGCUUGGGGAUGUUGAUACGUCUCCAGCGUAUCUAUAAUUUUUGCUUGCUCCAUGCUGUUAUAUUAUCGUUUUUGAUGUUUUACAAUCAUUUUAUAGCAACUUUAUAUUAUUUUUUGGGACUAAGCUAUUGACAUAUUGCCCAAUGCUAGUUGUUGUUUUUUGCUUCGCAAAAUAUCAGUACCAAACGGAGUCCAAACGCAGCGAAACUUUUUGGAGAUUUUCUGUGGACCAGAAGACAACCAUGGGCCAAAGAUGCACCAGAGGGGAUGCCCGAGGUGGGCACAACCCACCAAGGCGCACCAAGAGGCCCAGGCGCGCCCAAUGGGGUUGUGCCCCCCUCGGUGACCUCUCGCAUCGCCUCUUCGCCCUAUAAAUUGCCAAAUAUUUCAAAAACCCUUGGGAGUCCAUAGAUCAGAAGUUCCACCGCCACAAGCCUCUAUAGCCACAAAAAAACCAAUCUAGACCCCGUUCCGGCACCUUGCCGGAGGGGGAAAUCAUCACCGGUGGCCAUCUUCAUCAUCCCGGCAGCCACCAUGAUGAGGAGGGAGUAGUCCACCCUCGGGGCUGAGGAUUUGUACCAGUAGCUAUGUGUUUAAUCUCUCUCUCUCUCUCUCUCUCGUGUUCUUGAGAUGUCACGAUCUUGAUGUAUCACGGGCGUUGUUAAUGUAGUUGGAUCAUAUGGUGUUUUUCCCCUCUCUAUCUUGUUGUGAACUGAGCUUUCCCUUUGAGAUUUAUUUCUUAUCGGAUUGAAUACUUUUAUGGAUUUGAGAACACUUUAUGUAUGUCUUGCUAUGAAUACCCGUGGUGACAAUGGGGUAUCAUAUUUAUUCACUUGAUAUGUGUUUUGGCACUCAACUCGUGGACUCCCGAGGUGACAUUGAGGUAAUCUAUGCAUAGGGGUUGAUGCACGUUCUCGUCUUUAUUUCUCCGGUAGAAAUCUUGGGGCACUCUUUGAGGUUCUUUGUGUUGUAUUAUGAAUCUGAAAUUGUUUGAUGCAUAUCGUAUAAUCAACUCACGGGUACUUGCGGUGACAUUGGAGGGCACUCAACUCGCGGACUCUAGGUGACAUUAGAGUUGGUUGAUGUGUAUCGUAUGGUGUUAUUUUAGUACGAACUCUUGAUUAGAUCGAUCGGAAAGAAUAGCUUGGUGUUAUUUUAGUACGAACUCUGGGAUAGAUUGAUCGGAAAGAUAACUUUGAGGUGGUUUCGUACCCUAGAAACAAUUUCUUCUUAUGUUCUCCGCUAGAUAGGAACUUUGGAGUGAUUUUUCAUCGCACGUUGAGGGAUGGUUAUAUGAUCCAAUUAUAUUAGCAUUGUUGAAAGAUUGCACUGGCGAAAGUACAGACUCUAGGCCUCAUUUGCAAGCAUUGCAAUAUCGUUUGUGCUCACUUUUGUUACUUGCUACCUUGCUGUUUUUUAUUGUUCCUAUUACAAAAAUCAAUAUCUACUAUCAUCACUACACUUUUAUCACCAUCUCUUCGCCGAACUAGUGCACCUAUACAAUUUACCAUUGUAUUUGGUGUGUUGGGGACAUAAGAGACUUUUUAUUAUUUGGUUGCAGGGUUAUUUGAGAGAGACCAUCUUCAUCCUAUGCCUCCCUCGGAUUGAUAAACCUUACGUCAUCCAUUUGAGGGAAACUUACUAUUGUCCUACAAAAUUCUGCGCUUGGAGGCCCAAUACGAGUCUACAAGAACAAGUUGUGUAGUAGACAUCAGCCACUGAUAUGUCUCCAACAUAUCUAUAAUUUUUUAUUUUUCUAUACUAUUAUAGUAUCAAUCUUGGAUGUUUUAUAUGUAAUAAUAUAUCAUUUUUUGGGACUAACCUAUUGGCUUAGUGUCAAGUGCCAGUUGCUGUUUUUUUUGCUUGUUUUUGUUUUUCCAAGAAAUCAGUAUCAAAUGAAGUCCAAAUGCCACGAACCUUUUUGACAAUUUUUUUGGACAAAAGAGACCAAAGAAGCUUCGGGAGGAGACCAGACGAGAAACGAGGAGACGACAAGGCACUUGGGUGCGCCCUAGUGCCUUUGUGGGCUAGUUGCGGCUUCAUCUGACCUAAUUCUACCUCCAUAAAUUCUCUAAAAUCGAGAAACCAACAGAGAGUCACCCAAAAUACUUUUUUUCUCCGCCGCAAGUUGCUGUUCUUCGAAGACCCCAUCUGGAGGCCUUCUUCGGUACUCUGCUCGAGGGGGAAUCGAUCACGAUGGCCUCUACAUCAACCUUGCCGCCCUUUUGAUGAUGUGUGAGUAGUUUACCACAGACCUACGGGUCCAUAGCUAGUAGCUAGAUGGCUUCUUCUCUCUAUUUGAUCUUUAAUACAAUGUUUCCCUCGAUAUUCUUGGAGAUCUAUUCGAUAUAAUCUUUUUUACGGUGUGUUUGUUGGGAUCUGAUGAAUUGUGGAUUUGAUGACAUAAUUUUUUUUGUUCGGGUCAUAUAAUGUCAUAGAAGUGUCUUUUUUUAGUGAUAGCAAGGGUGUCUGUGCAGCGAUGAUGUCAUGAGAGAGGGGGGGGGGGUGGGAUGGCGUCAUCCAUAUCGAUUAGUUCGGGGGUCUUCCUAGCAGCUGCGUCCAGGGAGAGGGAUGUCGUACUCCAUGCAUAUUGGCUCGUGGUCUCCCCGACGGCUGCGCUAGACCUCUCGGCGAGGUUGCCCUACAACUCAUGGCUAUGCAGGUGGUGGGCUUGUAAGUUGCAACACACAAUGCAACGUGCAAAUAUAUAGAUCAGUUUUGGAGAAGUAAACACAUAUAAAUGUCUCAUUUGAAAAAAUUGCAUCAUAGAUGCUGGCCAUACAGGCUUAGGACCUAAGAUGAACAAACUUGCAUAGUUUUAGGAUCCAAAAUUACAGUUUUAAAAUUAUAAGAAUAAACUUUCUUUUUUAGGGGUAAACUGACACAGAGCAACAAAAUGAUGUGGUUUCGUUGUUAUGCGGUGGAGCCGGGGCUAGACCCCUUUUCCUCUAAAAAAUAUGGAGCAAGGCCAUGGGUGUACGAUGCUGAUGCUCACCAGCUUCACAGGAUACGGAGCAGGCAGCUCCUGGUGCCGCGAUUCUGAUGGAGCAGGUCUUGAUGCGCAAACGACGGCCAAAUCGAUCGCCCGGCGCGGGGCGGGCGAGGCCGGCAUUCCGUCGAACAGAGCGCGGGCGCCCGCUACUCUCUCCCCGACGGCGAAGCCUUCAGUCCCUGUUCCUCCACGACGGCGACGCGCUCGGCCGAGGCAGAGGCCCCCACGCGGCAGAGGCGCUUGCGGCGUGGCGCCCCGAGCCGCGGCCACCUGCCUGCCCGGAUUCCAUCGCCCCACCUCAGUGCUCGCGCGCGCGGCGCGAGUGGGCGCGAGUGCGGCGCGAAUCCGAUCCCCCCGUAUAAGAAGAAGCGGGGGUGAGUGGGCGGAUGGGAACCCAACCCGGCUCGCGAAACCGAAUCCUCCCUCCCCCGCCUCCUCCGGGUGCUGCUUCGGAAUCGGUACGACUGAUCCCCUCCCAUCUCCAUUUCUGUAGAGUUUCGUUUCGAUUUCUCUUUUCCCCUUGCUUGAUCUCUGCGGGCUCGUUCAUGAUCUGGUUCUCACGAAUUUGUUUGGCUCAUCGAUGGCUUAAUUCGUGAACUGUGAUCCUUGUUCACGGUGGAUUUCCUCAUCUGCGCGUCAAAUUUCAGAUUGAAUAAUAAUAGGUCAUCAGUCCCGAGUUAUAUGUGCCGAGUUCAUCCGGUGUUGAGCAGACGUCCUGAAACUAAGAGAAAUUGCCUGUGACUGAUACGGGAUGGUUGCCGCUAAGAUCAAAGAGCUUAGCAAAGCUUACUGGCAGCCACCUCUUAUAAUCCGAAUUAAUCCAUUUUUAAAUUUGUCUACUACCUGCGUCAAAUUUCAAAUUGUUUAAAGAACUUCAAUUCUUUAGCACCUACAGUUGACGAGGAGGGAGAAUAAGUUUAGAUCCUUGGACGGAUAUAGCAUGCUGAUGUGUUUACCUCCGGCAUUUACGGUAGAUUCUACAUAUAUAAUUUGUGGUUGCUUCUCUAUAUUUUUCAUUUCCUUGAUAAAAGUGGAGCUCUGCCAAAUCAGUUAAAAAAAAUCUGGUCAGUAACAAACAAUGAGUUUUUUAAGCAGAAAUUGCCAAUUCAUGAGCUAGCCAGAUUUCGAAGAUGAACAUCCAAUACGUAGCUAUCCAGGUCAAGAGAAGCCCUCCUCCUUUCGUGCACACUUUGUGUUCGCCAUCUGCACCUUCCUAACGACCACGUCAUUGCAUCACACAGUACGGUAGUAAUCGACUUCUCAAAAUUGUCUCACAUACUAUCAUCCAACUUGGCCUUAGGACCCACAAGUGCAUUUGUUGGCAAAGAAACCCACAAAGGAGGCGCCAUUUCUGUUUAUCUUUUGCUAGUGAGUUUGGCUGAGACAUUUUUUCUUUACUUGCACUGGAUGUUGUCAGUAUGUUUCGACGUUUCGUUAUAUUUUGAUAGUGGAACCUGACCUUGCAUAAAAGUUGUAUGGGGAAAAAAGUAGAAGGCACCUAAAGCGAGAUUAGUUUGUUCUUCUCACGUCAAUCUUCAUGUCUGAUCCGUCAUCUUUCAGCAACAUUUUGAUGUACAUGCCCAACCAUGUGUGAGCAACGCAUUUUCACCAUGGUCCAUGUAAAAUGGGUUGUGCACUCUUCAUAGUGAUCUUGAUAAGAUAAGGAAAGCUCAAAUAAAGUUUGGGAGAACAGGGGGACAUGGGACUCCGAUCCACCAGUGGAUGCUGCUUUAUAUCAUCUUGGCUUUUUUUUACGGGGAAUCUUGGUUUGGGAUUAGCAGCAUGCAAUGUUUUUAAGGCGGUNNNNNNNNNNNNNNNNNNNNNNNNNNNNNNNNNNNNNNNNNNNNNNNNNNNNNNNNNNNNNNNNNNNNNNNNNNNNNNNNNNNNNNNNNNNNNNNNNNNNNNNNNNNNNNNNNNNNNNNNNNNNNNNNNNNNNNNNNNNNNNNNNNNNNNNNNNNNNNNNNNNNNNNNNNNNNNNNNNNNNNNNNNNNNNNNNNNNNNNNNNNNNNNNNNNNNNNNNNNNNNNNNNNNNNNNNNNNNNNNNNNNNNNNNNNNNNNNNNNNNNNNNNNNNNNNNNNNNNNNNNNNNNNNNNNNNNNNNNNNNNNNNNNNNNNNNNGCGGACACCUUAGAGAGUUCUAAGCAGCAGAAUAUAGUAGAAUUUGGUUGUUGCUGCUGUACUGGAGAGGAAGAGGAGCUGCUGGAGAGGAGGAGGAGCUGCUAGACAGGAGGAGGAGGAGGAGCUGUUGGAGAGGAGGUGGAGGAGCUGCCAGAGAGGAUCUGCUGCAGAGGAGGAAGCAGAUCUGCUAGAGAGGAGCCACUGGAGGGAAGGAGGGGGAGGAGUGUGUGGAUUGGGGGCUGUUUCUCUCUCUCUCUCUCCCCCUCUUACCUGUUGGUGCCAACUGCCAACAUCCUUUCUGUUUCCCGCCAAAACUCUGUUUCCCCCCUAAAACAGCUCACCUGCCUGCCUGGCAAGCUAAGGCGUCCAAAAUGGACUAAGGCAACAACCUGGACGCCUAAGCAGACGCCUUGGACGCCUUAAAGCUUAAGGCGGACGCCUUACAGAGGUACAUAAGGCAAGGUGGACGCCUCGAGCUCGCAGGGCGCCCUGACGCCUAAGCGUCGCCUAGGCGACGCCUUAUGGACGCCUUAAAAACAAUGGCAGCAUGUUGAUCAUGUAAUGUUGUAUGCUAAUCCAAAUACAUGAAUCUUUUUAACCAUGACUACUAAACCCUGAGAAAAGGAUGGCAUGAGCACUCAAACAAUGCCGCGGCUUGUAGAGCUUGUGCAUUUGGUUGGAAUAAGAAAUGCUACAGCUACUCAGACCCUGUGUUACACGGCUCAAGUCACCUUAGGCCAUGAUUUUUCCAAAAAUUGUUCGGCUAGUCCUCUCAUCCUUAAUCCACCUGCAAAUGGCACUCCUUGGCAUAUAUGUUGGGAACAUAUCAUGCCAUCCAAGACCCGUUCUCGGGAACCCGUUCUCGGGAAUGAAGCUCUCAUAGUUAACUUGUCAUCGUACUCCACCUCCACGGGAAAACACAUUUAGGUUUAAGCACAAAGAGAAGCGACUCAUCCUAGCAAUUGCUCCAAAGUAGGACCCACACCAAUAUGUAUCUCCUCUCCACCCACAUGGGUCCAAGUUCUAGGGCUUGUAUAAGUGCACAUGGCUUGUGGCCCUCGUCACAAAUUGUAAAGCUAGUAUGUCUUUAGGCAUCAAACAACAACUCGAUAUGCAAUGAUUGAGUAAGCUACUAUAUAUGGCUUUGAGCUGGAAUAAUGUUUCAGAUUGUACAUCAAUGGUUAUACAAUUCAUACAUGUUAUGGCAAUCUAAUAUAUAUAAUUUUUCUCCAUGUAAUAUUUCUUUUUCUCUCAAUAUAAUUUGCUAAGGAUAAAUACUUACUUUCACAUUUUCUUAGAGAUACAUCCUUCCAGGUAGGUCGGCAACGCAACAAUGGAAGAAGGGAAAGACAAGAAUAACACCACUGAGAAGGGGCUGUUCUCAAACAUGAUGCAUGGGUAUCCACCUCAUGGAGGAUACGGAUACCCUCCUCAAGGUUACCCGCCACCGGGGGUCCCCUACCCUCCUCCCGGGACGUAUCCUCCUCCACCACAAUAUGGGUACCCUCAGCCAGGUGGCUACCCACCUCACGGUGGAUAUCCCCCCGUCGGCUACCCUGGUAUGCAUUGCUGGUGAUCAGUUAUACAUAAUGCACGUCCUAAUUGUGUUGUGUCUGGGGAGUUAAUUUGCUCAAUUGGACCUCAAUGAUAUGAACAACACUGUAAUUGAUCUUUCAGUUGUUUGCUCGGAUUUAUUUAUGUCAUCACUUCUUCAUAAUUUGUUUCAGGCUACGGGGGUGGCCAUGGAGGACAUGGCUAUGGCGGCGGGCACAUGGGCUAUGGAGGCGGCUAUGGCGGCGGCGGCCAUGCUCUCGGGCACCACCACGGAGGCCACGGCUACGGCCAUUAUGGUCACGGAGGCCAUGGCUACGGACACCACGGUCACGGACACUACCACGGCGGGCACGGCUGGGGGCACCAUGGCCAUGGAUAUCACCACCACCACCACCACGGCAAGCAUGGUUACGGCAAGUUCAAGAAGUGCAAGUGAUUUGCGUCUGCGCACAGUGAUUGCGCCUCAUCAACUAUCUUAAGUAAGCUUGGUUCCAGAAAUACCCCCGCGGCUGGGAAGAGCGCUAGCAUGUCUCCUGUGAGACUGCGAUGAUGCAAUGCUCCUGUACUGUUACUAGAUAUACCAUAUAAUUUGGUGCUGUAUAGCUAAUAAGGCUUGAUAAUAAGUAGCGGAAUCAGAUACCAGUCAUUUGCUGCAGUUCAGACGUUCUCUUUCGUCCGUACACAGAUGUGCUAGCUAGAUAUCAUGCUCGAUCAGAUUAGUGCUCAGUCCAUGCCCCUAGUAUGCACGUCAUGUGAAGGCCGGCGCCUGGGUGCGACCGUGGUGAUCAUCUUGCGCAGCCGCGCGGCCCAAGGCCGGCGUUCAUCAUGUAGCAGUGGCAGACUGGCAGCCGCCGGGGAGGCGAGCUCCGACGAGCAGCGACUCCCUCCCUCAUGCCAUGUCAGUUCCUGGCCGCCAUCGAUACAACAAAAGAAACAGUAUGGUUGGAUAGUCAGUGUAGACUAGCAAGAAUUUGGGCAAUGCACCUUGAGUGCAGCCGAUGAAUGACUCGCUGUAUAUAUGGGCAAGGUACAGGAGGUGCGCGGAGCGCAGGUUACAGGCGCGACGUGAAUGGGAUUGUGCGCUAGCCACGAUCGUGUGAGUAUGAGACUACAUCAGCUAGCUAACAGUCAGGACAACAGUGGCAUCCUUAGUGCUUGUUUGAGCCCAUAUAGCGACUUGUCGAGAAGACAGACGUGGUUGGGGUGGUGCUCGUCGACGAAGCCAGCCGGUUGCUGGCAGUAGACACGUUCCGUGAGGUGGCCCUGCAAAAAUGCGUUAUUGACGUCCAUCUAAUGAACCGGCCAGGCUCGAGCCGCGGCGACGGUGAGCACGACGCGGAUGGUGGCUGACUUGACCACCGGCGAGAACGUCUCGUCGAAGUCGACGCCGGGGCGCUGAGAGAAUCCGCGGACGACCCACCUGGCCUUGUACCGCUCCAACGAGCCAUCAGACUUGAACUUGUGCCGAAACAACCAUUUGUCGGUGACUAUGUUAGCGUCGGCCGGAUGUGGCACCAGAGUCCAUGUGCGGUUCGCCAUCAACGCCCUGUACUCCUCCUGCAUUGCGGUUAGCCAACGGUGAUCUCAUAACGUGGCGCGCACACUUUUGGGAAUGGGUGAGAUGGCUGGAGCAACGGUGGCAAUGUUGGCGUCGGCGUACUUGGGGUUAGGGCGAAACUUGCCAAGUUGGGCUCUGGUUGUCAUGGUGUGGCUAGGUACAAGGCUAGGAGGACGCGUUCGUGGAGCUCGUGGCACAUCAGCAGCUACCACGGGAGGCGGGGGUGAGAUGUCACCGCGUGCCGGGGAGGCGGGCUCGAUGGCAGCUGGAGACGAAGGGUUGUUGGGAGAGGCUGGAUUUGUUACCAUGGCAGCGUUUUGGGCAGGGGCGCGCACACGAGGUGUGCGGGGGCGUCGGGGCACUGGGGUCAGGAGAGACAGUGUGGGAUCGUCGUCGGGAGGGGAAGAGAUGCAUGGUGGAUCCACAUGGGAGAAUGGGAAGGUGUGUUCGCCGAAAACGACAUGCCUAGAGACGACGACCCGCCCUGUGUCUCGGUUGAGGCAGCGAUACCCCUUGUGAUCCGGUGAGUAGCCGAGGAAGACACAGGGAUGUGACCGUGGUGCUAGCUUGUGUGCGGUCGUGGCGGCGAGGUUCGGGUAGCAGAGGCAUCCGAACACAUGGAGCGCGGCGUACUCCGGGUGGACGCCAUACAAGAGAAGGAAGGGCGUGUGGUUCUGUCGAGCGCGGCAGGGUCGGCGGUUCAACAGAAAUGUGGCCGUGGCUAGUGCUUCAGCCCAGUAGGCGAAGGGCAUGGAGGCAUGGGUGAGCAUGGAGCGUGAGAUGUCAUUGAGUGUUCGUAGGACACGUUCAGCCCGUCCAUUCUGAGGUGAUGUGUAGGGGCAAGACAUGCGGAGUUGUAUGCCCUCAGAGGAGAAGAAUUGGCGCGAGGCAUGAUUAUCGAAUUCACGGCCAUUGUCACUAUGUAAGGUUAGGAGGUUUAGAUGGAAGUGGCAUCAGAUGAACGCGAGGAAGGUUUUAGUCGUAGGAAGGACAUCCGAUUUGUGGCGUAAGGGAAAGGUCCAAACAAAGUGGUUGUAAUCAUCUAACAUUACAAGAUAGUACUGAUAGCCUGAUAAACUAGUUACAGGGGAGGUCCAAACAUCACAGUGCAUUAGUUGAAAGGGAAACAAAGAUACAUGAGGCGAGGAGCUAAACGGAUGCCGCACAUGCUUUCCUAGCUGGCAAGCGUGGCAGACAGAUGAGAGGGCUCCACGACUCGGUGUUGAUGACGAACGAAGGGCACCAUGCAGGGCGUCUGCUCCGGGGUGACCAAGCCAUUGGUGCCAGAGGUCGGUGGUGAUCGCAGUGAGGGCGUGGUGUGGCGUGGCUGUGGACACGGUGUACAGGUCGCCAUCAUCAUCACAGCGGAGGAUCACCCGCUUCGUCCUUCGUUCCUUGACAGAGAAACCACGAUCGUCAAAUUCCACAUUUACAGGAUUGUCGCGGGCAAGAGCUUUGACAGAAAUUAGGUUACGUAUAAGGUAUGGAGAGACUAGAACAUGGCAGAGAGAGUGGGGAUUGGGUGGUAGGGAUGGUGGUGUGGCCUGUGUGCGUCACCGGAAGAUAUGUACCAUCGCCAACAGUAAUGCCAGAAGCAGUGUAAGGGUAGGAGAUGGAGAGCAUACCAGAGGAGGACGCCAUGUGAGACGACGCACCCGUGUCGAGGUACCAGUCGGACGUGGGCGGCGACGGCUACGGUUGCUGAAUGUGCAGAUUGUUGAGGGCGUUCACCAGCGCCGUCUGAUCCCAGGCCGGGCCUGCGACAACACCAUACAGAGGGUGUGGCGGAACAGCUCCAGCGGUCCACUGUGUCGGAGGAGCGCUCGGCGGGAUGUGGAGCGGCGCGCCGUAGGGUGCGGGAGCACCGUAGUGUGACGCAGUGCCGGCGAAGGGAGGCGCGUUGGGGCGCGGCCCCAGGACGCCGGCUCCAGGAGCAUGCGGGCGCCAUGGCAUGGCCCAAGCGUGAACCAUUCCAGUCCACGGGGUGGUGUUGGCAGGCGGCGCCGGCGGGCGCGAUGAAGAGGCGCCAUUGUAGUUGCCACCGCUCGAGCCACCCUGCUCCACGACCUUCCCUUUGCCGCGAUUGCGGCCGCCAGAGUUGGAGCCGCGGUUACGACCGCCGCCCCCGCCUGUGUUGGUGUUGUGGCCGCCCCCGCCGUUGUUCUGCGGUGCUGGAGUGCGGGCGGCAUGCAGUGCCAGUUCCGGCGCGGAGUCAGAGCCCUGCCUGCUUUCUUCAAGAAGGAGGAAGGCACGGCGACGCAGGAAGGUGGGGAAGGGGGUUUGCAUGGUGAGUAUGGGAAUGGCGUAGCGCAGCCGUGGGUGCAAACCUCGGAACAUGUUGAGGACCUGCUCACGGUCCGUCACGGGUUCGCCAAGAUCAGCAAGCCGAUCGGCGCAUUCCUUCAGGCGGCCGAAGUAGGCGAUGACGGAGGAGGACCCCUGCUCAAUACGUCGGAAGUCCGUCGCCAGAAACACCGUUUGGUGCUCCUGGUUCUCCAUGAACAUGGAGGUGAUGGAGGCCCACACCUGGGCCGCCGUCGCAUGGCGUUGGUGGAUGAGGCCGAAGAUUUCCGGACUCACGCGUGUGUAGAGCCAGGAGAGGAUGUGAGCAUCGUCCUGGAGCCACGCCGGAUCGUGGGGACGCGGAGCGCCGACGAGAUGAUCAACGACGCCGCUCUUCUGGAACAUCACCUCAAAGAGGGUGCGCCAUUGAGAGAAAUUGGGCGGCUGCAGCGUCAGGAUCAGUGGGACGUGGUGGUUGAUGAAGAUGGAGGCGAGUGGCGAGGUGGGUAGGGUAGAGGCCAUCGCGGGCGGCGCGCCGGCGAAUAGAGCACUGAGUUGGGCGCCAAGUCCUAGCGCAGAGGGGGUCAGGAGGGAAGAUGCAGAGGAGCACGGGGUGUCAAAGGCGGCGUCCUCUAGGGCGCUGGUUAGGCCCCGACCUGGGUGAGGAGGAGGUGGGGGAGGCGGUGGGACGAACAUGACUGCCGGAGUAGAGAAACGGCAGCGAAAGCGGUUACAGGCGCUGGGACGUGCCGGCGUCUGAUACCAUGUAGACUAGCAAGAAUUUGGGCAAUGCACCUUGAGUGCAGCCGAUGAAUGACUCGCUGUAUAUAUGGGCAAGGUACAGGAGGUGCGCGGAGCGCAGGUUACAGGCGCGACGUGAAUGGGAUCGUGCGCUAGCCACGAUCGUGUGAGUAUGAGACUACAUCAGCUAGCUAACAGUCAGGACAACAGUGGCAUCCUUAGUGCCUGUUCGGUUCCACUCUACUCCCUCGACUCCGCUCCCGGAGUGGAGCAAGUUGUAGCUUGUUUCCACAGAGCGGCUCAGCUCCACGGAGUGGAGCGGGGCGGAGUGAUUCCAAACAGGCCAUCAAAUUUCAACUUCUAAACUUGACACCGAUUCUCACAUUUUUCUGAAUUUAUUUUAGGCCGGUGAUGUACGUUUUGUGGGAGAAGACAUUCCUAUCGACUAUAAAGGCUUCUGCGUUGACUUUGUCAAUCUCAAACUGAUGUGCCGGCUCAGUCACGGAUGUGCUCAUAGAGAUAGGUUGUGCACGCGUGUGUUCAUAAAGGUAAUUGUACGUGUGUACGUAUGAGCGUCUGCGUCUAUACCGUGUUGAAAAGAAAAGUAAGUGUCUUACUGUAUUGAAAAAACGUAGGUGACACGCUCAAACGAGUUUUUUUUAGACAAACACACAGGCUCAAACAAGAGCAAGCAAAGAGAGUGUCUACGAUAAAGUCUGGCCCAACACUUUUGGACUCAUCAGCCCGUCGCGUCUGCCUGGGGGCGUUGCUGGACCGAAUCCAGGCCCAGCCAGAAAAAGCGCCCUCACACGCCACGCGUCGGCUGCUCGUCGUUUCAACGCGCAAAUAUCCCCCGAGGCAAAGCAACGUGGACGUGGGGUUCCUUCGCCGCGUAGCUUUCUUCCCUCUCCAUCCUCGCCCCCACGACGGACGACGCGCUUCGGCCGCGGCCGCCUCGAGCGAAGCAGUCUCGGCCCCCACCUGUCAUCGACUCUGCGCAGCGAGGUCAAGUCCUAUCCAUCCAUCCAUCCAUCCACCCACGAAUAAUAACUCCAGGCCGCGGGACCCGCCCGGGAUUCGGUGCCAACGCCUGCCGAACCGAAGCGCGUACACGAGCCCACCGCCCCCUAUAUAAAAUCCCCCAGCACGCACAGGAGCCCAAAUAUCCACGGAGCGCACGGAGGAGAACGCCAUCAUCCAUCCAGAUCGGCCUCUUCUUCUUCAGCUUCGCAGAAUCGCAGAUCUUCUCCUCUAGGUAUGCGCCUCCUACAGCCCUGCGAAUCCGCGGCCCCUCUUGCUUCCGAGUAGUAGAUCGUGGCAAAAAUAAAUUUACCGGAGGGGAUUUUUUUUUUUUUUGCUUGCUCUGUUCUGUCCUGUUUGACGGCCUGGGUGGGGAUUUUUCCAAGUCGAGGCCGUGGAAAGGGGGAUCGGUCACGGAUUUGGCCCCGCGGGAUCUGGAUUGGGGCUGGUUGCCGUGAGAAAACCCCUGUGGUAGGGGGCGCCCGAAUUAGCCGUUAGUGUGUGGGAAGUCAUGCCCGAGGGUUUUCGUCAGUUGGAUCGGUGCGGCUCUUGAUCCAUGGAUUAAUCAGUGCUGUUGUGGAGUUCCUAGUCAGGAUGAUGCGAAAAGCUAAAAUCUACUCCACUUGCACUGGGCGUGGUUCAGAAAACCCGCAAAGUCUCUCCGAUUGCGAUUGGUGGUUAAUAAUCAUACAUGUAUGCCCUUCCUUCAUGUUUUGAUUAGCACAUCUGCACAUGCAUGUUUCACCUCUCUUGUAUGAAUAGAUUGCUGCUUGUUAGGCACAUGGACAUGGUUUGGCCAUUUGGAAAUUGGAAUGAGGAUUGGGUAGGCAGUUAGGCACGAUGGCUGGUUGUUGCUGCCCUGUUUAUUUUAGUCUGAGGACCAUGUCUGAUUGCUUGCACGCAGCACUCACUCAAGCAUAUCAUUCUUUUACCAAGUCAAAUGUUCUGUUGCGAGGACGACUAGUUCUGCUCUAGCUGGCAUAAACACAUCAAUGUGGUGGUGCUACCGGCCCUCUAACCGACAAGAAAAUACAUUAGCAACUGUUACAUACAUCACAUGUUUAAUGGCAGUUCUUAUGCCUAAAGACAGCAAGAUUUCUCUGUCACGUAUUAACAUUUGCCUAAUCAUGAUAUGUGCAGUUAGCUCCCUCAGAGCAAUGGGAGGAGGCAACGAUGGUCAUGGGUACCCACCCGGUGGCCAGGGGGGAUACCCUCCGGCAGGGUACCCGCCGCAGCAGGGAGGUUACCCUCCACAGCAAGGAUACCCGCCUGCACCUGGAGCUUACCCACCUGCACCUGGGGCAUACCCUCCAGCACCUGGGGCUUACCCUCCUGCACCUGGAGCGGGAGGCCCUGAUGGGGAGAAGGGGCUCCUCUCCAACAUCAUGCACGGCGUUGCCGGUGCUCAUGGUGGUGGUCAUGGGUACCCGUCUGGUGGUCAUGGGUACCCAUCUGGUGGCCAUGGAUACCCUCCACAACAAGGGUACCCUCCUCAGCAUGGCUACCCCCCGCAGCAGCAUGGCUACCCUCCACAGCAGCAUGGCUAUCCCCCUGCCGGCUACCCUGGCUCAUCCGGUAUGUAACCUUCCUUUGUUUUAUACCAUUCCUGUUGGACUCCAUAAAUUGCUACCAUUUGCACUAGCAUUUAUAUUUCCACAGUUGAGAUGCAUGUAUAUGUGCAUUAUGCGCUGCAUCUUCAACAACAUGCCAUUUCGGUCUCGUAUAUGAGUAGUGGUUUAUCUUGAUGUAAAGAGUCCCAAGUUCUCUUGUAUCAAACCUCAUUGUUUCUCAGGUUGUAUGUGUAGUAUGCACUGGAUUGAUGUACAUUUAUAUGUGUAGUGUGUGCUUGAUUGAUAUCCAUUUAUAUAUGUGUGGUAUGCGCUGCAUCUUCAAUAAUAUGCCAAGUUCCAUCUCAGGAUACGAGUAGUGGUUUAUAAAAUCUGUUGUAUCAAACGUGUAUCACUCUUGAGCAUCCAUCCUCAUCGGCUAUUGUUUCUCAGGUCACAGUGGUAGCCAUGGAGGAGGAGGCAUGGGCAUGGGCGGCAUGCUGGCUGGAGGCGCAGCAGCUGCCGCCGCCGCCUACGGAGCACACAAGAUCUCUCACGGCAGCCACGGUGGAGGUGGACACAUGAUGGGAGGCAUGAUGGGCGGCCAUGGAGGCUACGGCGGCGGGUACGGCCACCACGGCGGCAAGUUCAAGCACGGGAAGCACGGGCACGGCAAGUUCAAGCACGGCAAGCAUGGGAAGCACGGCAUGUUCGGCGGCGGCGGCAAGUUCAAGAAGUGGAAGUAAUGCGCGCGCUAGCUAGUAGCUUCACAAUGGCUGAUGAAUCAAAAAAAAAUUACCUAAACUCUUUGUGUAGGCUUCCAGAACUUGGUUUGGUCAGGGAAAGCCUUUGAGAUGUAUCUAAGCAGGGUGGUGUGUGGUCGCUGCUCGAUCUCGUGGAGCUUCCAUCCUUUCCUCUAUGAUUUGGCACUCUAGUCUGCGUCUGUGACAAGAUAUGACUUGCUAAUAAGUACCUGAAUUCUGUGUGGCGGUAUGCUUACCCUGUUCUGAUGCUGGUCAUGUGUCGUUGUGCUCUGAAUUGGUGUUGUGUUUGCUUCGCUGGGGCAAAAUUGUUGCUCCUGACCAAACAUGUGGCAAUUUUGCUGCCAUUUUCAACUGUUCGAUGCUCCUCCAAAAGGGCGGGCAAGCAACAUUUUGUAAA